AUGAAGGUCUACAAGGAGCUCUAAACGAAGAAGCUCGAGAUGAAGGAGGCCGUCAAAAGAAGGAAGCCCGAGAUUGAGAAGGCUGUCCAAACGAAGAAGCUCGAGAUUGAGGCGACCAACGCGAACACCAAAGCAAAAGAAGUGGCGCUAGCUUUCAUUGCGAAGGACAGAGAUGAAGCUGCCUUGUAGGCAUUUGGGUCAAUUGAUCCCAAUGAACUUAGAAAAUCCUUCAUUAAUUUAGGAUCGCCGGAGAGGAAUCGCGACGAGGGCUUCCUCCUAUCAGCCAUGGAGCACAAGGAGACCGGCUGCCAGUCUCGGGAGGGUCCCAUCCUUUGCGUCAAUAACUGCGGAUUCUUUGGCAGUGCGGCGACCAUGAACAUGUGCUCCAAGUGCCACAAGGAGAUGGCGAUGAAGCAGGAGCAGGCCAAGCUGGCUGCCUCCUCUUUCGACAGCAUCGUCAACGGUGGCGAUGCCGCGAAAGAACACCUUGCUGCUGGCAGCACGGCGGUGGCAGUUGCUCACGUUGAGGCGAAGACGCUUAUUACCGCACAGCCUGCUGAUAUCGCCGGUCCCAGCGAGGCGGCGAUGGAGAACCCCAAAGGCCCAAGCCGGUGCAGCACCUGCAGAAAGAGGGUUGGGCUGACCGGAUUCAACUGCCGGUGCGGGAACUUGUACUGCGCGACGCACCGUUACUCGGACAAGCACGAGUGCAAGUUUGACUACCGCGCCGCGGCCAUGGACGCCAUCGCCAAGGCCAACCCGGUGGUGAAGGCGGAGAAGCUCGACAAGAUCUAGGAAGGGGCCUCCCUACGGUCGGCAGAACAUAAGGUCCCAAAUCAAAUCUGCGCUACCUCGUCAUCGUGCGUCUUUGCUGCAUUAUCCUUUCAUCAUGUUGGCUUCUGCAAUCCUAGUUGUUGGGCAAUCGUGAUGCAUGGCACACGCGCCACGGCGGCAGCCCCAGGUCCGAACGGUCUCCUUGUUGGCUAUGUUGUGUAAGCUUUAUUUAUGGUCGUCUCUCUGCGCGGCGGAACGGUAACGGUAUUGUGGCUUUCGCAUUUUGGCUAGCACUCUGUAAUGUACUGCUCUUUCCUCC